UACAGAGGAUGCAAGCGUUAUCCGGAAUUAUUGGGCGUAAAGCGCGCGCAGGCGGUCCUUUAAGUCUGAUGUGAAAGCCCACGGCUCAACCGUGGAGGGUCAUUGGAAACUGGGGGACUUGAGUGCAGAAGAGGAGAGCGGAAUUCCACGUGUAGCGGUGAAAUGCGUAGAGAUGUGGAGGAACACCAGUGGCGAAGGCGGCUCUCUGGUCUGUAACUGACGCUGAGGCGCGAAAGCGUGGGGAGCGAACAGG
rnacentral:rRNA from 1 species